rnacentral:misc_RNA from 1 species
CUGAGAUCUUCCGAGCCCCUGGUUGAGUGUCACGUGGAUUGGAUUGCUGGGAUGGACUUAUACGGCCUUUGGUAAUACUAGACAACCACUGAGAAUGGGCUACGACCUCUUCUGAAAGGCAGAGAGGAUCUGGUGAACACUGGAGUAACAUAGUGUUGUUCGACUAAUAGUAGCGUCACGUAGCCUAUCAAGGCAAGUGAACAACUUGAAGCCAUCAUUGGAAUGGUGCACGUACCGAGCUUGGAAUGGUGCAUGUUCCGAGCAGAAGUCUUAUGCUGUUUUACCCUGUAGGUGUCGGUAACAAUUAUUAGUUGCAGGAAUCCACAUCCUGCUGUUAUCGCUAUGUCAGUGUCAUGCCCGAGCGGGGAUUUGGUGACCUAAGGCAAUUGGCGGAGAUGAUUGUAGGUGGUUAUAGUCAUUGCGGUCAUUGCACAACUUGAUACAUGCCAAUGCGUUUGUCCAGUAAUAUUGUAGUUCAACAUUUACAUUCGUCAUUUGUUUGUUUCGUCUAAUUCCACUGUAAAACAUACAGUUUUGACAAUUUACAGAAGAAUGAACAAAUUGAAACUUAAACCAAUGUUACAAAUAAGUUAUACCUAAAAGCUCAUGACAUAAAAUUCAGCUUUUGGGGAGGUCACGUGUUAUGGAUUUUUGUUGCAAGUCAGCAUAUCGGAGGGCUUAUUGGUCACUUGCUUGUUGCUGUAUCACCAGACAUCAACUCCCUUUCAAGCUCAUCAAACUCCCAGUCACCAAUCUCUUCUGUUGAGUAAUCCCGAGCAUCCUUCCCAAACUCUGACUCCAGCUUUGCUAGUUCAGCUGCAGGAUCAAGCAUCUGAUGUUCCUCAACUGCAGGUGCUUUGGGUUCCACAUCUGUCCCAGAUUUUGGUGAAGUAGGAUUCUGCAUCAAUUUACGGGGACUCGCCACUUCCAGUGGCUUCUCAGAUGCAGUCUCUGACUUAGGGGUCGGCAGAGUCUCAAUUUCUAGAUUUGGUCUCUCAACUGAUUCAAAUUCCUUUCUCAACUUCUCAAUAUCAUCAAAUAGUUCUUUAAUCUUUGCAUCGUCUUUCCUAUAAGAAGGCCCCUGUUGAGCAUAAAGCUGCUCCCUCAUGUUAUCCACCACACUGAAGGUAGUUAUAAUCUUGGCUUCAUAAUCCAAAUAUUCCUCCUCAAGAUUUUUCCUCGGAUGUAAUACCUUAGAAUCAUCACGACCCACACCUGCCACCUCUGACCCUUCACUUAAAUUCUUUAGAUUUUCCACAAAUUUCCCAAUGCGGCUGAUAUCAGGACCCAACUCAUUCUUGUAAUCAGAGAGUAGAUGGAUUGCCAAGUUCACAAAAUAGUCCUCAUGCCUCUCCAGUUCAUCAUUGACCUGCUUCUCCUUUGUCUCUGUAUAUGACCGCUGGAGAACCCAAGUAUCUUCCAGAAAAUUAAUCCAGGUACUCAGGACAUUUGCCUCAACCUUAGAUGCAGCAAUAGAUUUUGAAAGCUCAUCUUCCUUUGUUUUCAAGUGCUCAAUGAUCUGAUUGUUAGCUUCUUCAAACUGGUCUCUCUCUUCCCUAGCAUUGCGAAGCCGUGCAUUUGCAGCAGCCAGAGAAAUAUUAACCUUUUUCAAUUGAGCUUCAAGUUCAUCUCUUUCUUUUUCAAGUACAGAAAUUUCAGCUGAUAUUUCCUGGAGAGAAAACAAAGAAGAGAAAACUCAAUUGUCCCUAGACACUUGCAAGCAUGCAUGUUUCAUAGUUUAUAUCAGACACAGGCCAUAAAACUUUAAAAAAAUACAUGAGUCAUAAAGAAAGCUAUGCCCAACAGAAACCGAAUUUUAUUAAGUAAUCUGUAAUCCCUUCAGAUAACAACUUAAAUAUGAGGACUGGUACAGGAAAGUUGAAACAAAUGAAAAAGAUCUAUUGAUAACCCAAUUAAAAAAGGCCCUCAGUAUGUCAUAAAUAAAUUGAGCAUUAAACAAUUGGGUUUAUGCUUCCUUUUAAUACAUCCCGCAACAAUAUUAUCAAACACAUAGAGGUCAUGGUAAAAACUGGCCAUUCCAAUAGGAAAAGAUACUUGUGCAUUGCAAGAAUAUUUUAAAUGCUAGCAUAACUAAUCAAACCAUCACUCUUUUACGUUAAUGACAUUAGCACCAUCAAAAGGCAAGUCUUCUUGAAGUAUAUGCUCAAAAUUUAAAGCAUCCCUCCACACAACCCAUUCAUGGAAGAGAAAACACCAAGCUGUCUUCCAAAGAUAAACGUCUUACCUUCCGUACAGUCUAAGGAUAACGAACUAGAAAAAAGCUUUGCUUUAGAAGCACAUUACCUUCUCUCUUUCAUUAGAUUCAUCAGCUUUGGCAACACGAACUUUUAGAGCCUCUUCCUUCUGUAUUCUGUGAUCUAAGAUGCGCUUUUCAGCUUUUGCUGCAGAGCUAGCAAGGGAUUCUGACAAGACCUUCAACUUGUCAACCUUUUGAGCAUGAAUCUCUGGAGAGUCUCCAAAAUUUAAAUUUUUCUUUUUCAGUAAAAGCCCUUCCAAUCUGGAACAGAUGCGUAUUUGUGCAAGGGCGUCUUUCAGCGCCUCUACUGUUGCUUUAGCUGCUCCAUCAGAUGCUUUGUCCUGACCUUCACUUGAUGGCUUAUCAAAACCAAUCAUUCCAUCAAGUUUGUUCUUCAGAUCAAUGGCUUCAGCAUCUAUUCUUCCAAGAUCAGCACUAACUUUCAACCCUGCAACAGCACCUUGUGCAAAUUGAAGCAAUUCCUCUCGCUUCACCAGCACUUCAUCUUGGUAGCCAGCAAAAGCUGAAGCUAGAUCCUGUAUGCUGCUCACUAUUGCAUUAUGAACUUCUUUUCCUCCAGUUAGACAGAUCCCAAACAUCUCUAGAAGCAAAGAAAUUUCUUCAUCGGUUGGUGCUUCAAGAAUCAUGGACAAUGUAAUGCCCUCCAAAGCCUGACUUUGGAGAAAAACAUCGCGAAAGUUCAUUGGCUCACCCCCAAUGUCAGAAUCAUAAUAUAGUACCAUAGACUGUUUUCUUGGACUUUCUUUUCCUUCAUCAGGAAAAAGAUGUUGCUCAAGGGUCCUCUGUUUAUCUUCAGAUGAAGCUGCCGAUAACUUCCCAACUUCUUUAAGCACAAGCAGCCAUCUUCUCAGCAACAGAACCCUCUCGGGACCUCUACAAGAGACAGCAGCCUCCUCCAGUCUCUUAACAGUUUGCUUAACACUUUUGUAAUUCCGAUUCCCAAUUCGAUCUUGCAGGAUUUUGGCUCCUUCAGCAACAGCUUGGCCGGCUUGUUGAACGACGGAGUCAGCGUAGUUCUUGACAGCGCGGGUGAGGUUGUUCUUGUUCCCCACCUCCACAGCCUUGUUCACGGCGGAUCUAAGCCACGACAUUUUUUUAUCUUUUUUGGAAAAUUCUUCACUUCUCUUCUAUAAAACACAGAAAAAUCCAAAGGCAAUGUUAGCAAAAGCAGCUUUGAACUGAUUUUUUUUUCCUUUUUUUAAGGUUUUAGAGGGAAAUAAAAGAUUGUUAGAUUUGGGUUCUUUUUGGAGGUUGAAGAACAUGGAAAUUUAG